ACCAAUCCGUCACACGGUCCCCGUUUUCUCGUCUGCUCCGUCUUCCUCCCCAUGGUUUUUCCCCUAUCAAAAAACUCCCUCCCUCGUAUUCUGCACCAACUCCCCUGCGCGAUCUCCUCCUUCUCGUCGCGCCACUGAUCCAGCCUCCUCGGAAGCGGACGGUGUCUGCCUGCGUCCCCAACUGUCUCAGGUACUGCAGGCAUCGAGCACGGCGUGCACCCACGCUGUUCGACGUAAUGCUCCAACCGAGAGGCUCGCAACUCUUUGUGUCUUAUGCCAAGCGUUAUCGUCUCCCACCGGAGGCAUAUUUUGAUGAUUUGCAUCAACGAGGCAAGUAUCGCUUUGCUGUGCAUUAACGAGUAGAUGUCUACGAGUCCGCGGCGUUGCCUGUUCUCACGGCCCCCCUUUUUUUUAGAACCCCUAUUCAGCAAUUUAAGUAGGUAAGGUGAGAAUUUGGAAAGAGGUACAAGGAAAUAUAUACGGCAAUGCAAUCCAAUGCAACACGUAGGGCACUGGCAAUCUUCGUGACAAUAUUGUUCUAGCGACUGAAGGAGAGUAAUUCACGAGAUGGGAAUGUGUUGCUUCGAUCUUUUGUAUAUUUCUUUGCUGUGCUGAAUUGAUAGUUGUGUCUUGCAGUUCGGUUCUGUAGUUAUGCUUCCAACCAUGUUUUGUACUCCCUCCAUUCCUAAAUAUAAGUCUUUUUAGAGAUUCCACUACAAACUACAUACGGAUGUAUAUAGACAUAUUUUAGAGUGUAGAUUCAGUCAUUUUGCUCCGUAUGUAGUCCAUAGUGGAAUCUCUAAAAAGACUUAUAUUUAGGAACGGAGGGAGUACCUUCUAUAUGUAUUUCCUCCACAGUGAUGUUCCUAAAACAGCAAGCUGGUCUCCCAUUUCCUGUGAGGUUCCCUUAGUAACAACUUCUGUUUACUACAUACAGUUCGUUAAUCAGAAAAAAGAACAAUGUGAGAUGUGCGCGCGUACUGUGGUUGGUUUAAUUGGUGCAUUGGUGUCUGUCAAUUGCUUGGUAGGUGUUCCCAUGUUUUAGGGACCCAUGGGGUUUAUAUAGGGAAUUUUAUUUUGCUUUCCAAAGUGUUCUCGUGCUUCUGGUCUUAACCUUUUGUACCCGUGUCAUUUUCAGACUGCUUAGUACUGUUUUGUUAUGGGCAACUGCAUAGUGCUGUUAAGGAAGCAGAAAGCUUCGUUGGUUGAAUUGAUUCAUAAUAUGGCACCUUUAUCUUCUGCUAAAUGCCGUGAUGCUAGAAGAUUUAUUGUUGGCGACCUCUGUAUGUUGCUCUACAUGUUUGUAUGAAUGGGUUUGUAUAUCUGUUCAUGUUACAAGCCGACACCGCUAUCAGGCAGCAUUAUAAGAAGUAAACGACAGACAAUAUGAGAUAUGAUAUGAGGGUUUCUUAAAUUAUUAUCUUAUUUUUGUCGUGGCAUUGCUAUGUGCGAAGAGGUCCUCUUGCCGUCUUGGUUGGGAAAAGCUGGCAUCGGGUUAGAUAUUCCUCUGUGUGUGGUAACAUAUACUCUCACAUGCAACCCUUAUUCUUACCAGUCUGUACACAGAACGUGAUCAGAAUGACUGUGCUCAUCAUCAUUUUGAUGCAAUGCCGGUCAAAAGUAUAGUCUCAUGUAGCACCAUGAUUGCUGGGUACUCGUAGUGGAGAGGAUAUGCAAGUUCUGGUGCUUUUUUCAGUGAUGCACCAACAUGGGGUGCACAUGAGUGAAUUUACCUUUAGCAGCACUCUAUGUGCAUGUCCUGGAAAAUAUGCUUUGUGUAAAUGCAAGCAGUUACACGCCAUGGCCAUCAAGCUUGCACUGGACUCCAGUAGUUCUGUCAGAACUGUAGUUCGUGAUGUUCAUGCAAAGCUUAAUAUGAUUUAAGGAUGCAAGCUGGAUUUGUUAAAAGAUGCCACAGAGAAUCACAGUUACAUGGAGCUUGUUGCUUGCAGGGUAUGCGCAUAAUGCUCUUCAGAUAGCGCAGUGCAAUGGUCGCUGGUUUUCUAGGCAUGCUCGCUCUUGAGGAGUUAAGAUUCUUUUCAAGGAAACGCAGCGGUUAAGGGUUUCUCUGAAUGAAGGUUGAUGUUUCUGGACGAGCUAGGAGGAUUGACAAGGCCUGGGAUUUGGUUCCAGUAACGGUGUUUGAACCUACUGCUUCUAUGUUGAGGAUCUUUGCCAGGGUAAUGCAGGAGCUACAGGAGAAUAAGAUUAGCCAGAAUAGUGACCGAACUUUUUUUCCAACUUAGACCUGACAAGGGUAGAAAUCAUGUUUGGCAUUCAGAUAUGUAUGCUGCCAGUCCAAAGUGGGAUAGUAUCUUGCCAACAGAGACAGAGCACCCUCUAUAAUACGUUAAAGGUAAUUUACCGUGAGAUGAGAAGAUCUCUUCACAGGGCCAGCUAACACAAUGUGACCUUCAUGUAUGUGCAUGACUACUCGAAGGGGGAGGCUGGAGCUGCUUAAACAAAUAUCUGUAGAUUCAACCAUUUUAAGGAUGAUUCAUGUUCUUGUGGGGACUUCUGGGGAUUGAGAACUGAAUGAGACCAAUCAUCUUGAGUGGUGCUCCCAUCAUGUAGCAAAUUAUUGUCCUGUGAGUAGUGGCUCUGCUGCUUUAAAGAUCCAUGUCGACUUAUAUUGUGAGAUUGGCCAUUCAAGUCAAUAAUGUCAUGCUGCUGACCCCAGUUGGUGUAAUAUCAGCAGUAUCAUCUGAACUGUGCACUGCAAAUGGUAGCCCAGAUGUGGGUCCUUGAUCAUCUGAACAGACUGAGUGACCUACAAGCUCUUAUCUUGUACAGUAGUUGCGCCAUACAUCAUAAGACAAUACCUACAUGUGCAAGAUUUAUUCAUGUAGAAAUGUGCUGGAAGUGGAUUUCUUUGUUCCGUGCCCCUGUUGAUUUGGGUGUCUCAGGAAAUGAUUCGCCGCAAUGCAAAUACUGGGCACUAUUGUCUAUGGGUGUGCUGCAGUAGAUAACUGCAGCAAUUGAUACACAUCUUGGUUUGCUCCCUUAUGAUUUCACCAUCCUCAUUGUUGUUUCCGAUCAAAGAAUGAUGAGCUAUGGAAAGUGGUAUUCUCCAUUCCCUCAUCAGUGUUCCCACUCUCAUGUGUUCUGCAAUUUGUUAACACUUACUCCCUCUGUAAAGAAAUAUAAGAGCGUUUAUAUCACUUAACACUAAAGUAGUGAUCUAAGCGCUCUUAUAUUUGUUUACGGAGGGAGUAUUUGUUAUUUCAUAUUUGAUACUGUAUUUCUCCUUGUUGCGUUGAACAUAAUUACUACUGGAAAAUGUACUGCAUCAAUGCAAACCUACUCUAUGUAGGAUUUAAAUCUAUUUUACUUUUUGGUCAGGAGAAAUCCAUAUAUAACUUGAUUCUGUGAUUCAUCUCUUGUGACUUGUACAGUUGGAAACCAAGUUACCCUGAAUCUUCAGUCAGACAUUAUACAAAAUUUUAGUUCUCAACAAUAUUUGUCUUUGUAUACCAUCUGGGUAGCUCCCAUUUGACAUGUAGCUGUUUCCUCUUUGCAGACAACUGUUUUUAUUUGUUUCUCCAGAAAACAAAAUGACCCCGAAUUCUGAUGCUUUGUUUUUUUCCUUUGGAAAAUGUCAUCACUUUCAUUGGUCAAAAAUAAAUAUUAAACUAAUCUAUUUGUUGCCAUAUGGUCUAGGGGGUUGCUAUUCUGAGAUUUGACUCAUAUCUCGCCAACGAUUUGGAGGCCUACUCAUUCUCUUUGUACCACAAGAAGACACGGGACGAAAUCUCAGACACAGUGUAUAUGCUUGUCCAUAUGUUAUCAUUAACAGCUUAAAUAUAUGCGUAGUUUCCACAUUGGCACAUCAUAGUGUUAUAGGACAAUCAGACAUACCUUAGGCACUUAUUACAGUCCUCCAAUGGCCCGCCAUCUCUGCAUCCUGCACCUGUUUUUCUCAAGGAAAGUACUGUUUCUGUACAAAAGCAGGCGUCUAGAACCACUAGCAGGUACCGGGGAGAACGGCAAACGAUGCAUAUAACUACAGUAAGACAUGAGCAUUCAUCAGGCCAGCCCGUUCCUUGUGGACCAUGCUGGCUCAUGAGCCUCACCUCAUGAAGGCAGUGACUUAUUUGGAAAGCAACGAGAUCCAGUGGCUGAUGCCUGACGGGUGCAUCAUGGCCAGCAUAUUGUAGGUCCAGUUUCUGGGUCGAUCCGGCCUCUGGCACCCCGUUUGCAUGGUGUGGGUGGCCAUUCACUCAUCUGAUUGAUGCAUCCUCGUGGCACUGUUGCUCAUGUUUUGCUUUGACGUUUCUUCCGUAGUCCUGUAAAAAAAAAUUUGACCUUUCACAAUAAUGCUACUCAGUAGGGCAUAGUUAAUAGGUUUUGUUCCCAGCUUAAAAAACUGCAGAUUUGGCUGCAAGUCUUUACGUAGAUGAUGCGAUUAGCCUGCACUUUUCAGUUGCACCUUCUCGGUAUGUGUUACAUAGAGUGAGAGUCUGCUUUACCAUUAUGGCACUCACAUGACCCAUUUGCGCUAAUGCUAAGAUAGAUUGGUUUUGGUGUUCAAAAGUGUUAAUCAUGUAACCCUGGGAUAAAAUUCAUUCAUGCUUUUGGAAUUAGGGAAAGCUUGCCCCUGCAGUGCACAUGGCUCGUGUUUCAGUAGUGGACAGGAAAUCUCGCUGUUGAUACAGUAGUUAGCCUGCUAGUUUUAAUCAUCAUUUCCACAGUUGAUCAGUCGAAUGAUCUAGGACCUUGUUUAAUUAGCUUGUCUCGGUAUUCUCCACUACGUACUUGCAUGUAUGUAGCAAGACCUACUUCUCAGGCAACUUGCACCUGCAAUCUCUAGUCUUUACAACAAGUGCUUGCACCAGAUUGGUGACCUAGGUGUUAGGCUUUUAAUCUAGAUUCUCCAGGCACUUUAUUUUAGCCUCGGCGUGUUUCGCAAGCUGACAGUACGGCUAAUCUUUUAUGGCUGGCGACGGCUUGCCCUCUGCUAAGACUUGAAGAGCAGGUAUCACCAAGUCAGUUUAGCUCAUGUUCCUCCAGCAUCUACUUUGUAACAUUGACCGGUCAUAACAAUAACAUGUUGUUUGUCUCAUGCUGGUUUGUUUACAUAGGCAACAAAGCUGGAGACAUAGCUCUAAUUUUCUUUUGGUCUGUUUACAUGUUUGUGAGGAAUCAUGCUGGUUAUUGGAGUUUAGCGGCCUUUUGUGUCUGGACUUGGUGCUUGUUAGACCAUCAGCUUAGCCAGCCUUUUGUUUCAGUAUCCUAUUAGGUGAAACUGAGCCCACUUGCACAUUCAUCUUUUGUUGAACUUUUCCUCCCCGAGGGAACAAAAAGGUUGAGACCGACCACUAAAUAUUAAGAUAAGGGAAAAUCCGCAGAUGUGGGCAUCAUUUAUGCUAGUACAUCAUUUUUAAUUGUUGGGCAUUUGCUAAAUUUUCCUUUCAUGGAAUUGUUAGAGUGGCUAUGUUUCCAUGUAUUCACAUGAAUCAGUUCAUGCCCGGCACAGACAUGAAAAAUAUCCCUUAUUCGCUUAUUCCUAACAGGGCCUUUUUUUGAAGCGGAGGCAAAAGAUUUAAAGUAACAGAAUACAUUGCGACAUAAUCCUUGCACCUCUAGUUGGCAGUGAAAGCAUUGAGCCUAUUGAUUGUAAAAGUGAAAGCAGUUACACCACCACCAAUUGAUUGCAUGAGCUCUACAACAGUAGAACUGUACAGAAAAGAGAGGGGAGAGAACAAAAUCCCCAUGGGGAUGUUUCUUGAGCAGGCAGGAGAGGAUACAUCAGCUUCAGAGGUUCUUCUUGGCCCCACUGAAGCACUCAGACAUGACACAUAUACAUACACAAGUCUGUCUCACUGUCUAGCCCUCUCUCCCCCUCUCUUUUUCCUGAAUCCUCCCCUCACCCAUGCCUGCCGCCGUACAUCAAAUGGUGUUUCUGGAAGACAAAAAGGGGAGAAAAGAAGAAAAAGAAAAGGGGCGAUGAAUGGAUGGAUGGGUGGAUGGAAGAUUGACUGGGGAACAAGGGAUCUCCCCACUUCCUUUUCCUUCCACGGGUCAAUUCAAACCUGUCAUUUGGUGCAUAGCAGCAGUAGUAGGCUGCUGGUGGUGGUGGUAGUAAACUUGUUCCACCGCUGGUUGUUCAGCUCAUGCAAAGAAAGGCAUCGCAUCAGAUCUCCUCGUCAUCUUCUUUACGAACUGCCCCUGUCAUGUUAAGUUCUUGAUUGGUCAAUUUUCAGAAUUAUAUGUGGCUACUUGUUGCGAUCGAUGAUUCAACUCAAUGAUGUUUCAGUACUGACCAGUUAUUGGGAACUGGAGACACGGCGGCGUAGGGGCUCUGGUGCACGUAGCCGUACAUCGCCGGCGUCGCGGGCACGGCUUCUGCCUCUGGCUCUGGCCCGCAGUCGAGGUUCACGCCGAACAGCCUGAGCCGGCGUGUGGGUGCCGAGGCUGGGCUGCAGCUCCUGGUGUCUGCGUCCCACUGGGAUUCUCCUGCGAUUGUUCAUUCACCAGAAAUGGCGUUAGAGCGUUCAUGGUGAUGGUGCUUCAAGUUCCCAAACGCCAGGAUGAGAACUGGACCUGCACAGAGAUCGUGCACCCUUCUCCAGUUCCCAACGGAUUGUGAACUCAGAAUCAAAAGUUGGGUGUGCAGUAAUGGACUAGUUUGACAUAGACAGUUAAUGUUCGUCCUGUCGACUGCAUGUCUAGACUUUGGGCAAGAAUCAAGAACGAACUGCAAUCAUAUAUACGUUUGGUUUCUCCAUGCACAUGAAUGAGUUGGUAUCCCAUGGAAUUGAAUACAAGAUAACUCAAGAUAAGGGGACACAUGCUAAUGCUCCUAGUUUAGUUAUCUCUGUGGUCUCAGCUCCUUUCCAAGAGGCGAUGCAUGUUUUGCCAAGUUCAUGCAGAUGUGGGACUGAGAGCCUUGAGUGCAGCAUGUUACUCUCCCCUAUUCACAAAUAUAUACAUGCCACCAUGGGAAGUGUGCAAUUAAGCAUUACCAAUCUUGGACCUUUUAAUAUUGCAAAACCAAAGGUAUCUAGAUGCCUUCAUUUGAAAUCAUAAUUGCCCAUUAUGGGGUUAAUGAUCGGUUGGAAAAUAUAUUUCACAAAAAGAAAAUUCAGGAUCCUAGCUGUUUGCUGGCAUGUCAUUACCUGUUGGAGACUGAGCUAUGUUAAAACGCUAAAAUGUCAUGUCAACCUAAUAUGUAGAGCAUUAUGAUGGCAUUAGCUUAAGAGCCAUGAACCUAUGGUUCUUGCAUCUAACACUUUGUGGUGAUGGGCUGGCGAGCAUCUACAAUGUGAUUCUGUUUUAUCUAGCACUGCCGCCUAUUUAUAUCCUUGUUUUAAGCAGCCGCCUAUUUAUAUUGAAAACUCAUUUCAAGAUUCCACUGCAUGGUUUCCAUGGUUUGGACUUUGGAGUAAUUAGUUGAGCUCAUUUUGUCAUGUAUACUUUUGUGUUUUUAUGGAGAGAGAAUCAAAA